rnacentral:rRNA from 1 species
UACGGAGGGUGCAAGCGUUAUCCGGAUUCACUGGGUUUAAAGGGUGCGUAGGUGGGCAGGUAAGUCAGUGGUGAAAUCUCCGGGCUUAACCCGGAAACUGCCGUUGAUACUAUCUGUCUUGAAUACUGUGGAGGUAAGCGGAAUAUGUCAUGUAGCGGUGAAAUGCUUAGAUAUGACAUAGAACACCAAUUGCGAAGGCAGCUUACUAGACAGUUAUUGACACUGAGGCACGAAAGCGUGGGGAGCAAACAGG